rnacentral:tRNA from 1 species
GCGGGUGUAGCUCAAUGGCCAGAGUCCCAGCCUUCCAAGCUGGUUAUGCCGGUUCGAUCCCGGUCACCCGCUCCA